AAUAAAUCGUAAAAAAAUAUUCUUCCAUUUAAAAAAUUACAAUCAAUUCAUUUUAAAUAUAAUAUUAUUAAUUAAUGCAUUUAAUUAUUUUCUGAUUUGUGAUAUUUAAAGUUGAUUAUAAAAAUUUUGAGAGUUGAAUAUGUAAUUAAAUAAUAUUUUUCGAGUGCAAUAAUAUGAGAUUAUUUAAAUAAUAUUAUGUAAAUUAGAUAUUAAUUGUAUGUAAAUAGGUAAUAUAGGAGAUAUUUAAGGAGAUAAUGUUAUAAUAAUGAUGCAAAAUUCUCUUCAAAAGUGAAGAUAGGUUUGUAAUGGUAACAAUGAUAUAAAGUUCAUAUUUAUUAUUUAAUUAAUAUGAAAUAAAUUACAACAAUUUAUUUUUACAUAAAAAAGAAAAAUAUUUCAUUAAUUAAAAAUAAAAUACAAAAGUAAAGUAUAAAUUAACAUAUAAAGUUUAUGCAUAAAUGAAUUUAUUAAAAAAGCAAUAUAAAAUUUUUUUUAAUAAUGCAUUUAAUUGCAAAGACCUUAAUUUUUAAAAAUCAAAAUUUAAAGAAAAUAAUAAUUUAAAUUAUAAAUAUUAAGAUAGUAUU
rnacentral:misc_RNA from 1 species